GGUGCAAGUUAUGGAAAUGGGGUGCAUGAAGAGGAACUCGUUUUUGGACCUUAGGCCCAAACAACCUAGGCAUCUCAAUGCAGCACCCCUAGUCCAAUGAUUCCUUCACACAAUCCGCACAUUGCCAAAGUUCCAGGAUGCGAUGCAAUGGCCUCAGGACACUCCAAAAUAUGAUGCACAACUUCAGCACACCAAAACGCCAAAUCUUCAUCUUCAUGUGCUAAAUCGAAGAUGAACAACGACGAACACGACGAAGCAACAAUGAACACGGAGAAUUCAACAACGAACAAACUGAAUUCAACUCCAAUCGUGAAAUCAAUCACAACCUCAAAUCGCGAUUCAAUCUCUGCGCGUGCAAAAUUGAAAUGAAAACAGAAAGGAAAUGAUGAGAACUCACUGAAACGGAACAGGUUGAAUUGGUAGGGUUAUCAUAGGCCAUAUGGAAUGUGCAUUUGGAUUAUAUUUACAGGAUUUUGGAGCAGUUGAUGUUUCAACAUGUUCAGAGCCACUCGUGUUGCCAUUGUCGUAAUAGUCUUUUUCAUACUUCUCUCCAGAUUUUGUUGAGCGGUGAGGUAGUGUGUGGGUUUGCAUUGUGGUUGUAAUUGGAAUUGCACAUGUAUGGCUUAUGUAUGCAUUGUAGUUUGAAAUUGAAUGUAUAAAUUGGUUUGAAAUUGUAAUGAAUAAAUUGGUUUGAAAUUGUAAUGAAUGAGUGGUUGAAUUGUA